GCGGGCGUAGCUCAGUUGGUAGAGCGUCAGUUUGUGGUACUGAAUGUCGCCAGUUCAAUUCUGGUCGCUCGCCCCA
rnacentral:tRNA from 1 species